rnacentral:snRNA from 1 species
GGAUGUGAGGGCGAUCUGGCUGCGACGUCACCCCAUUGAUCGCCAGGGUUGAUUCGGCUGAUCUGGCUGGCUAGGCGGGUGUCCCCUUCCUCCCUCACCACUCCAUGUGCGCUCGGUGGAAGAGGACGACCUUCCCCGAUAGAGGCAUACCGUUCUUUUUAGAG